rnacentral:rRNA from 1 species
UACGGAGGGGGCUAGCGUUGUUCGGAAUUACUGGGCGUAAAGAGCGUGUAGGCGGCCCGGUAAGUCCGCUGUGAAAGUCCAGGGCUCAACCCUGGGAUGCCGGUGGAUACUGUCGGGCUCGAGUCCGGAAGAGGAGUGUGGAAUUCCUGGUGUGAGCGGUGAAAUGCGCAGAUAUCAGGAGGAACACCAAUGGCGAAGGCAGCACUCUGGGACGUGACUGACGCUGAGACGCGAAAGCGUGGGGAGCAAACAGG